ACUGCCCCAUCAUUGAGCAGUGAGCACUGACACUUGGUCCAGCAGGAAACUUCUCUGGAAGAAGACAACACAGGCAUAAAAAUGAAUCAAAUCUGGAUUCUGUGUUUUGCGGUGCUGAUCAUCACCAUACCAUUUUCAACUCAGAAUAGCGAUGCUCAGAAGUCAGAAGGCAGUAGCUCACCAUCCUCUAGUACCUCCACAAAUUCCAGCGCUGUAGGAUUGGGUCCUGUGCCCACCACACUGUACCUGCUGAUUCCUGCAGCCACCCUGGGCUUCAUCCACAGUAGAUCCUAGUGAUGGAUGGAGAGCGUUCGCCAUAGAUGACCAAGACAGAGACAGUGGCGAAAUGGACAGCCAUUCACCCAAAGAGCAAACUUUUCCACAAAUCUUGAAGACAGAAGAUGCCACAGCUCACAUUUUUGUAAUGGAUUUUAAGUAAUGAGAAUGAAUAAAGUUUGGAGAAUUUCUCCAAGAGGGAUUUGUUUGGUUACACCUGUUUUAGAGAGCUUGAAAGACACCUGCAACUCAGGGUCCUGCUACAGAGCUCUUUGUCUCUUUUGUUUUGCUCCAAAGUCACUGUUUUAGAUAGAGCUCACCUAUGGCAAAUUCUCUUGGAAGAGUUUGAUUCUCCUAUGCUCAUUAUAUGAUUGAGAUUAAGCAGGUUAAAAAAACUCCAUUACUUAAAUCAGUAAUCACAUUUAAAUUUGAGCCCAAUUUCCAUUUCUGUAAUGACAUUAUUGGUACUUCAAAUUUAUAAUUUUACUAUAAAUGUGAUCAAUGUACUACAUCUCAGAAUGUGUCUGUAUGCACAAUUAAAAUAGAUGAUUGUAUGUUUGUGCCAUUUUUUUCAUUCAAAUCAGUAUUAAUGUUUUCUCCUAAGAUAUAUAAUCAGUUUUUCCCCAUGUGUUUUAUUGAAGAAUUAGAUGAGUACAAAUACACUUAGAAUAAUCAGGAUUCUCCAUAUGUUUUCUCAUGCCAACAACAACGUGAACAAAGCAAAAGAGAGUUUUGUAAUUGUUUUAGUAAGGUAAUAGGAUGUAGAGUAGAAAAUGCAGGUAUCCUAGAUUGAAAUUUAUUAGAGAAUUUAGUGUAUUUGACAUUUUAAAAACUGCUUUAAGACAUGAAGGCACUGUACUGAUAGAGGAUGUGAUCCUCCUCUUAAACCAAUGAGCAGGUGUUUAAACACGUCACACAUCAGUCACUGUGAGAAUAAAACUCCCCUCCCGCAUCACUGAGCACAGACUCUCUGCCUCACAGAAAACAUCUCUUGAAGAAGAAGAAGAAGAAGGCAUAAUCAUGAAUAAAAUACUGGCAUUGUGCAUCGGGUUACUGAUUAUAACCUUACCUUUUUCAUCUCAGGAGGACAAAACUUCAGACAAACCAUCUAUCCCCACUUCAGCUGCUGCGUCUAAAAAGCCUCAAAAGCCUGUGGCCAGUGCUGCAGGAUUGGAUCCGCUGCCCACCGCACUGUGCCUUCUGAUCCCAGCAGCCACCCUGGGCUUCAUCCACAGUAGAUCCUAAACUGGCUGGAGAAUGUUUAGAUGACCAAGAGGAGCAACGAUAUAUAGCCAGUCACAUGAAGACCAAAGUUUUCCAAAAUUCUUGAAAAUAGAAGACACAAGAACAACUCAACAAGAAGAUGCCACAACAAAUCACGUUUUUUUAAAAAAAUAAUAAUAAAAACUGGGAUUUAAAGGAAAAUUUCCACUGUAUACUGUACCGAGGGUCCUCCAAACCCCAACGAAACCACACCAUCAGACUCUUUGUUGUGUUUUAGCCCUGCUUUAAAUUGGAUUCGUCAGUUGCAACAUCUUGUAAAAGACUGUAUGAAUCUGAUCACUGUAAUCCACCUUCUCCAAAAUAUUUUUGUACUAACUGUGAUGAACUAUUAAUUGUAAUGAUUAAGAAUGUGUCUAUAUGCACAAUUAAAGUGGAUGAUUGUA